rnacentral:lncRNA from 1 species
CUGACUCUUAACUUUCUAAUAUGUGCUCGAAUGUGUCAAUCCAAUAUCCAUAGCUCAAGUUAUGACCUGUAAUGGAAGCAAUGAUCCAUAUGCAAAUAUUUCAUUGAAACUCAAAAUUUAGAAACUCAUAUUAUGACACUCGCCAACGAUCCUCCAAAAAUCUCUAAGAUUAUUCAAGUCAGCUAACAACCUUGCCCCUAUUACACGAUCAUAUGAUGAUGCUAGAGGUUCCAUGGUCCUCCUACUUGUGAUGAUAUUUUUUGAGAUCGUAGUGCGGUUCCUCUUGGUUGCUUUAAGAUGCUUCUUGCGGUCUGCAAUGUUUAUUGUUUGCUUAGCUUAUGGUGCCAUUUUGGAAUUAAAAUUGCUUUUGACCAAAAGUUGCAUAAUUUUUUCCUUUUUCGUGAUUUCAGUUUGAU